CUUUUAUUUUUUUCAAAAAGAAGGAGCCUUUAUUUACCCCUGUUCUGGAGAUGGUUAACCCUCUUUUCUCCUCUUGUACUUCUCUCGUUUGAAUGCGGAGUGAAUGUUCUCAGUACCAUUUGCACCCUUGACAAGUUGCAAUGAAUACUUGUUCCUAACAAUGUUGUUGCUGCUUGCACCGAAUCAAUAGAACAACAUAAGGAUAAACUUGUGCAGGAGGCACCGAGUGCAAUAUACUCUUUGGAGGUUUGAUAGUUGACACUACAUUGUAAUUCGGUGACUGAACGUGAUAAUAUUUUGCAUGCUGAACAUAUGGCAAAGCUAUGCGAAGACAACGAGGAGGUGAGUGGUGGCAAAGACAGUGAGGAAGAAGACAGGAAUGGGAGAAUUUGAUGUGCAAAACCAGAGUUCUGGGAUCACAGAUUGACAAGCUUUUGGGUAGAGUGAAUAAGAAAAAAAAAGAGCACAUCCGUUACUUAUUUUUUUGAGGCGGGUUGUUGAUUCUUUUCAAUCUAUCCUUUUUGAAUGCAUUCAGUAUUCUAUUCUAUAGUGCAAACUUCAGUUAAACAAACGAUUAGAAAGUCUUCGCAAGAGUGUGUUCAGUAUUCUUCGGUCUUGAGUUGACAGCCAAAUUAUAUUGUCUGUUUUAUCUGUCUGGUAGUAUAGUCAUUGGCACUCAUAAUUUUAAAGAAUUACCAUAAACACUGUAUUCAUAAAUUUAAAAUACAUUCUCCCUCUCGUACAUCUUUUG